rnacentral:rRNA from 1 species
AGGACUUAGUAACGGCGAGUGAAGCGGCAAAAGCUCAAAUUUGAAAUCUGGUACCUUCGGUGCCCGAGUUGUAAUUUGGAGAGGGCAACUUUGGGGCCGUUCCUUGUCUAUGUUCCUUGGAACAGGACGUCAUAGAGGGUGAGAAUCCCGUGUGGCGAGGAGUGCGGUUCUUUGUAAAGUGCCUUCGAAGAGUCGAGUUGUUUGGGAAUGCAGCUCUAAGUGGGUGGUAAAUUCCAUCUAAAGCUAAAUAUUGGCGAGAGACCGAUAGCGAACAAGUACAGUGAUGGAAAGAUGAAAAGAACUUUGAAAAGAGAGUGAAAAAGUACGUGAAAUUGUUGAAAGGGAAGGGCAUUUGAUCAGACAUGGUGUUUUGUGCCCUCUGCUCCUUGUGGGUAGGGGAAUCUCGCAUUUCACUGGGCCAGCAUCAGUUUUGGUGGCAGGAUAAAUCCAUAGGAAUGUAGCUUGCCUCGGUAAGUAUUAUAGCCUGUGGGAAUACUGCCAGCUGGGACUGAGGACUGCGACGUAAGUCAAGGAUGCUGGCAUAAUGGUUAUAUGCCGCCCGUCUUGAACCAACCGGAACAC